GCAACAGCAUCGAUGAAUCCAUGUGCGAGCCCUAACAUCUCUUCGACGCAUUCAUCCCUCAAAAACCUAAUUGCUCUGUCAAACCAUAUUCUGCAAAUAACACCCAAUCCACCAACCCUAAACGCAAAUCUAAUUCAAUGCCCUUUCAAUCCGCACCACCUCCUUCCCCCUCACUCUCUCUUCCUUCACCACCUUCGUUGCCCUUCCUCUCCUCGCCCUCUUCCCCACCUCUUCUCCUCCAACUUCUUCUAUCGUCAUUCCCCUGCCGUCGUAGCUUUCUCCCCUGCACCCUCCACCACCCCAAUCCCUACCCUUACCCUUCCCUCCUUUUUAUAUCGUCAAUGUGCAGACACUCACAAUUCCAAUCCCGAGAGAGCGUCCCACCACGCACCCAUUCUUCCUUCUCACUACUGGGCUAUCACGCGCGAAAUUGAAUCCUGGAACCACUAUCCUUCCACCUACUCCAACGCUGUUCUUCGUGCCAUUUCAGCUCUUGAAAUCGCCAACCUCCGUCACUUAACGAACUGGAUUAUAGCAAAUUCGCCUCGAUACGGCGUCGUUAUUGAUACGCCUACGCAGGAGCAUAUAUUUUUACUGUGCUGUCUGUGCCUCAAGUCGAUUCUAAGAGAAGCUUCCGCUUCCCUCGACCAGCAAAAGUCGCUGUUCGAGUGCCCCGUUUUGAACCAGGCGUUAACGUGGUUAGCAUCGCAGGUUUCCAUUCUGUACGGCGAAACAAACGGAAAGGUUUUCGUUCUUGAUUUAUUGAAAAAAUGUAUUAGUGUUGGUGCCUCCGUUCUGUUAUUGUUCCCUAUAGGGGACGAAGCCUCUGUUUCGAAGCAAGAGUCUCAGAAUGACAAUGGGGAUGCUCAACGUGAAGAAAACACCAACUACAUACAGAAUAGGAAGAUUUUUGUGUCCCAAGUUGAAGAAGCUGUUGAGGCAUUGCACGAGCGAUCCUUGCUUGAACAUCAAAUUAAGGGAUUUUGGUUUUCUCAGCGGCCAAGUAACUACCAGCUGGUUGCUGAGCAUUGUUAUUUAUCUGAGCAAGCAAAUGAAGAGCGGAAAAAGCGUCAUGAUUAUAGACCCCUAAUUGAUCAUGAUGGCCUUUAUCGCCAGCAAUCAGCUAACCAGGAAACAUCUAGAGAAAAGACCCGAGAAGAGUUGCUGGCUGAAGAAAGAGACUACAAACGUCGCAGAAUGUCUUAUCGUGGCAAGAAGACAAAUCAAUCACCUUUACAGGUGAUGAGAUACAUGAUAGAGGAAUACAUGGAGGAAAUCAAGCAGUCUGGAGGUGUAGGGAGCCCUGUGAAGGUGUCUGAAGAGAGUGGGUUGUUUCCAUCUAAGCCUGCUGGCCAUGACCUUCCAACUGAAGCUAAUAAUUCCAGAAGAGUUAGUCAUGACUCACCUGCAAUGAUCAUCAGUAACCCAACUUGUGAGAAACAAUCACGCACUAACUUUUGUGAUAAAAGCAAAGCUGUAGAAGAUACUUUUUCUAGGGAUUACAAACAACACAAACAAGGAGAUCAUCCGAGUCAUUAUUACAGGGAAGAUCAAGAGGAUGCUGAUCAAGGAAAAUAUUAUAGAGAUCGAACUUCUACAAGCCCUGAAAGACGCAGAAGUCAUAGUCGGCCACAUGAUCGUAGCAUUCCUUAUAAGAAACAAGAUUACUCAAAUAGAAAGAAGUAUUAUAGCUCGUCAAGAACCAGGGACAAGAGGCCAAAGGAUACUCACAGGAGUCACAUUUCAGAUUCUUUCCUGAGUAAUGCAUUUCCAGAUCGAUAUGAUCCUUCAGAAUCUCUUGAUAUCUGUGAGGAAGAUAUUUCCUCUGAUGCUAACCAUAUCAAAUCAGGCAAAAUUUACGAUAAGAAACCCCGUUAGCUUUGUCUUGGGCAAAACAUCAAAGACACUAAAUCUUCAGUGGCCGUGGAUUGGCUAGAAACAACAGUCUUUCAAUUUCUAUCUGAGUUUCCGCUUCUCUUUUUUCAUAUUUGCUGCUUCUGAACGACAGAUUCUUCAAUUAGCUUGGUUUAUUCAUUGUAUUGUAGAAGAGUUUCAGAUGUGAUGGAUUGACUGCAACAAAAAUGAUAUCAAGGUCAGAUAAAUUAGUAAUCAUGUGUCCUAAUGAUGCAUGUAUAUUGCUGCAUGAUUGGAAAGUGCAUGGUCUGUGCGAAUAUAUAUGCUACAGAGACAUGCAACUCCGAGUCUUUGUAAUUCUGUUAUCAAGAUUCAUCAACACUCUAUAACUCUGAAGAAAAGGGAAUGGGGAGCGAGGACAACAGAAAAAGAUUGCAGGCGAAGUUGCGGCAAUUGAUGAGUAGCAUUGUGGAGGACGAUGACACCUCGCUAUUAGCCUUCGACGAUGCAAUCCAAGCUCUUAAUACUCUCAAGGAUUUUAAAUACUCUUUAAACUUUGGCAACUUAACUGUUCCCCCAGAGUUAAGAUGUUCCCUCUCUGGUCGCUUCAUCACGGAUCCUAUUUUCUUGACCAACAAAGAGACUUAUGAUCGGAAAUCGAUUGAGAAGUGGAUGGAUGAUGUGAACAGACUUUGCGAUCAGACAAAGCGAAUCCUUUCGGACUGUGCUCAUACUCCCAACAAUUCAGCCCAAUGCUUGAUUUCAAAGUGGUGUGAAGAGAAUGGAGUUGUGUUAGACGACAGGGAUUAUGCAAAACUAACUGAAGACCACAAGCACCGCUUGCAUUCUUCGCUUUACCAGUUGUCACUCUCUGAACCUCAACAGUUAAAAGCUGCAAAAGAGCUUCGCCAGCUAACAGCGCGAAUCCCACCAUUUCGAGAACUUUUAGGGAACGAAGAAGUGAUUCAUCUCUUGCUCAGUCCAUUAUCAGGUGGCAUUCAUGGUGUUCAUCCUCAAAUCCACGAGGACUUGGUUACAACCGUUCUAAAUGCUUCAAUUCUUGAAGACAAUAGAAAAAUAUUUGGAAAGGAUGAGAAGAUCAUUUCCUUGCUCAUUGAUUCUGUGAGAUCAGGAACCAUCGAAGCAAGAAGCAAUGCAGCUUCAACCAUUUUCUUGCUGUCAUCCAUUCAAACCAAUAGGCUCAUCUUUGGAUCAUGUGACGCUUUGAAACAUUUGGUGGAGCUGUUAGGUGAGGAAAAUGAAUCAGCAAUGAAAGCUGCAGCUUCGGCUUUAUCGAACCUAUGUUUGGAAGAUGUAGUUAAAGAGUGGAGUGUAGAAGAAGGGAUAGUGGAUGUUAUUAUUGACAAGAUCACAGACAACAUCCAAGUCAAACAGAUGAUGUCUCUACUUGCACUUCUCGCUGACCAUUUAAGUGCUGUUCAGGCACUGGCUGAUAAUGAUGCUGUUACCUUACUUCUCGGUGUGAUAAGGGACAACACGGGGCCAAGCAUCAAGGAAUACUCUAUUUCGAUUCUCUAUAAGAUCUGUCAAGUGUAUAAUAUAAAAUUGCUAGAUAUUAAUGACGAGGAAGAAGCAUACCGUUCACUCUCUAAUCUUGCAGAAACUGGGACUCCAAGGGCGAAGAGGAUAGCCAACAUUGUUCUUGACCUGCUCAAAUUACGCCCCUAGGAAAUUAUAAAUCCCUCUUUGCAAAUGAAUUUCUUGCAUGUGGCUGUAGCUUCACUAGCAAUAAGCCACCUCAAUGAAUGUAUGGUGUCAUAGCUAGUUUUCUUCUUUUUCAACAAGUUUUAUUCUCUACAAGAAGUUGCAGUUGUGGUCUUAUUCUUCAUUUACCUUAUUUGACAUCGAACUCAAUUUUAUAGAUAACCAACUUCCAGC